rnacentral:rRNA from 1 species
GACGAACGCUGGCGGCGUGCUUAACACAUGCAAGUCGAACGGAAAGGCCCUGCUUUUGUGGGGUGCUCGAGUGGCGAACGGGUGAGUAACACGUGAGUAACCUGCCCUUGACUUUGGGAUAACUUCAGGCAACUGGGGCUAAUACCGGAUAGGAGCUCCUGCUGCAUGGUGGGGGUUGGAACGUUUCGGCGGUUGGGGAUGGACUGGCGGCUAAUCAGCUUGUUGGUGGGGUAGUUGCUUACCAAGGCUUUGGCGGGUAGGCCGCCUGAGAGGGUGAACGGCGACAUGGGGACUGAGAUACGGACCAGAGUCCUACGGGAGGCAGCAGUGGAGAAUAUGGCACAGUGGGCGGAAGCCUGAUGCAGCAACGCCGCGUGCGGGAUGAAGGCCUUCGGGUUGUAAACCGCAUUCGCCUGUGACGAAGCGUGAGUGACGGUAAUGGGUAAAGAAGCACCGGCUAACUACGUG